rnacentral:rRNA from 1 species
UAGGGAAUAUUGCAAAAUGGGCGAAAGCCCGAUGCAGCAACGCCGCGUGGGCGAUGAAGGCCUUCGGGUCGUAAAGCCCUUUUUGAGGGGAUGAGGAAGGACUGUACCCUCAGAAUAAGCCUCGGCUAACUACGUGCCAGCAGCCGCGGUAAAACGUAGGAGGCGAGCGUUAUCCGGAUUUACUGGGCGUAAAGCGCGUGCAGGCGGAUUGGAGAGUUGGAUGUGAAAGCUCCCGGCUUAACUGGGAGAGGUCGUUCAAUACUUCCAGUCUUGAGUGCAGUAGAGGGAAGUGGAAUUCCGGGUGUAGUGGUGAAAUGCGUAGAUAUCCGGAGGAACACCAGUGGCGAAAGCGGCUUCCUGGACUGUAACUGACGCUCAGACGCGAAAGCUAGGGUAGCAAACG